rnacentral:rRNA from 1 species
UACGUAGGAUGCAAGCGUUGUCCGGAAUUACUGGGCGUAAAGUGUGCGCAGGUGGCCGAGCAAGUCGAGUGUGAAAUCCCCGAGCUUAACUUGGGAAUUGCGCUCGAAACUACUUGGCUCGAGUGUGGCAGAGGAAGGUGGAAUUCCACGUGUAGCGGUGAAAUGCGUAGAGAUGUGGAGGAACACCGAUGGCGAAGGCAGCCCUCUGGGCCAACACUGACGCUCAUGCACGAAAGCGUGGGGAGCAAACAGG